rnacentral:rRNA from 1 species
UUAGGAAUCUUCCCCAAUGGGCGAAAGCCUGAGGGAGCGAUACCGCUUGAAGGACGAAGCCCCUCGGGGUGUAAACUUCUGAACUUGGGACGAUAAUGACGGUACCAAGGUAAUAGCACCGGCUAACUUCGUGCCAGCAGCCGCGGUAAUACGAAGGGGGCUAGCGUUGUUCGGAAUUACUGGGCGUAAAGCGCACGUAGGCGGACAUUUAAGUCAGGGGUGAAAUCCCGGGGCUCAACCCCGGAACUGCCUUUGAUACUGGGUGUCUGGAGUCCGGAAGAGGUGAGUGGAAUUCCGAGUGUAGAGGUGAAAUUCGUAGAUAUUCGGAGGAACACCAGUGGCGAAGGCGGCUCACUGGUCCGGUACUGACGCUGAGGUGCGAAAGCGUGGGGAGCAAACA